rnacentral:rRNA from 1 species
CGGCAGCGUGAUCUACCUUGCUAGAUUGAUGGCGAGUGGCGAACGGGUGAGUAAUACAUCGGAACGUGCCCUGUAGUGGGGGAUAACUAGUCGAAAGAUUAGCUAAUACCGCAUACGACCUGAGGGUGAAAGUGGGGGACCGCAAGGCCUCAUGCUAUAGGAGCGGCCGAUGUCUGAUUAGCUAGUUGGUGGGGUAAAGGCCCACCAAGGCGACGAUCAGUAGCUGGUCUGAGAGGACGAUCAGCCACACUGGGACUGAGACACGGCCCAGACUCCUACGGGAGGCAGCAGUGGGGAAUUUUGGACAAUGGGCGAAAGCCUGAUCCAGCAAUGCCGCGUGUGUGAAGAAGGCCUUCGGGUUGUAAAGCACUUUUGUCCGGAAAGAAAUGGCUCUGGUUAAUACCUGGGGUCGAUGACGGUACCGGAAGAAUAAGGACCGGCUAACUACGUGCCAGCAGCCGCGGUAAUACGUAGGGUCCAAGCGUUAAUCGGAAUUACUGGGCGUAAAGCGUGCGCAGGCGGUUGUGCAAGACCGAUGUGAAAUCCCCGAGCUUAACUUGGGAAUUGCAUUGGUGACUGCACGGCUAGAGUGUGUCAGAGGGGGGUAGAAUUCCACGUGUAGCAGUGAAAUGCGUAGAGAUGUGGAGGAAUACCGAUGGCGAAGGCAGCCCCCUGGGAUAACACUGACGCUCAUGCACGAAAGCGUGGGGAGCAAACAGGAUUAGAUACCCUGGUAGUCCACGCCCUAAACGAUGUCAACUAGUUGUUGGGGAUUCAUUUCCUUAGUAACGUAGCUAACGCGUGAAGUUGACCGCCUGGGGAGUACGGUCGCAAGAUUAAAACUCAAAGGAAUUGACGGGGACCCGCACAAGCGGUGGAUGAUGUGGAUUAAUUCGAUGCAACGCGAAAAACCUUACCUACCCUUGACAUGCCACUAACGAAGCAGAGAUGCAUUAGGUGCUCGAAAGAGAAAGUGGACACAGGUGCUGCAUGGCUGUCGUCAGCUCGUGUCGUGAGAUGUUGGGUUAAGUCCCGCAACGAGCGCAACCCUUGUCUCUAGUUGCUACGAAAGGGCACUCUAGAGAGACUGCCGGUGACAAACCGGAGGAAGGUGGGGAUGACGUCAAGUCCUCAUGGCCCUUAUGGGUAGGGCUUCACACGUCAUACAAUGGUGCAUACAGAGGGUUGCCAAGCCGCGAGGUGGAGCUAAUCCCAGAAAAUGCAUCGUAGUCCGGAUCGUAGUCUGUAAUUGGACUACGUGAAGCUGGAAUCGCUAGUAAUCGCGGAUCAGCAUCCCGCGGUGAAUACGUUCCCGGGUCUUGUACACCCCGCCCGUCACACCAUGGGAGUGGGCUUCACCAGAAGUAGCUAGCCUAACCGCAAGGAGGGCG